GGGUCAGCAGGUUGGUCGUGCCACCGGUACGUACUGGUCUCACUGAUUCCUCCUUCCUGAAGAACCGUAAUGCCAUUUAUUUGGUGUUGCGGGGAAACAGGACUGUUACUUUGAAAAAAUUAGAGUGUUUAAAGCAAGCUAACGCUUGAAUACAUUAGCAUGGAAUAAUGAAAUAGGACGAUCGAUCCUAUUUUGUUGGUUUCUAGGAUUGACGUA
rnacentral:rRNA from 1 species